rnacentral:rRNA from 1 species
GACGAACGCUGGCGGCGUGCUUAACACAUGCAAGUCGAACGGUGAAGCACCUUCCUUUUGGUGGGUGUGGAUGAGUGGCGCACGGGUGAGUAACACGUGAGUAACCUGCCCCCUUCUUCUGGAUAACCGCAUGAAAGUGUGGCUAAUACGGGAUAUUCUGGGUCUGUCGCAUGGCGGGCCUGGGAAAGAUAUUGUUUCGGUGGGGGAUGGGCUCGCGGUCUAUCAGCUUGUUGGUGGGGUGAUGGCCUACCAAGGCGGUGACGGGUAGCCGGCCUGAGAGGGGGGACGGUCACAAUGGGAAUGAGGCACCGCGCAGACGCCCACGGGAGGCAGCAGUGGGGAAUAUUGCACAAUGGGCGCAAGCCUGAUGCAGCGACGCCGCGUGAGGGAUGGAGGCCUGCGGGUUGUAAACCUCUUUCGCCAGUGAAGCAGGCCUGUCCCUUUUGUGGGUGGGUUGACGGUAGCUGGAUAAGAAGCGCCGGCUAACUACGUG